rnacentral:rRNA from 2 species
UAAUACGUAGGGUGCGAGCGUUAAUCGGAAUUACUGGGCGUAAAGCGUGCGCAGGCGGAUUGUUAAGCAAGAUGUGAAAUCCCCGGGCUUAACCUGGGAAUGGCAUUUUGAACUGGCAGUCUGGAGUGCGGCAGAGGGGGGUGGAAUUCCACGUGUAGCAGUGAAAUGCGUAGAGAUGUGGAGGAACACCGAUGGCGAAGGCAGCCCCCUGGGCCUGCACUGACGCUCAUGCACGAAAGCGUGGGGAGCAAACAGGAUUAGAUACCCUGGUAGUCCACGCCCUAAACGAUGUCAACUGGCUGUUGGGUGCGUGAGUACUCAGUAGCGAAGCUAACGCGUGAAGUUGACCGCCUGGGGAGUACGGCCGCAAGGUUGAAACUCAAAUGAAUUGACGG